rnacentral:rRNA from 1 species
GAUGAACGCUGGCGGCGUGCCUAAUACAUGCAAGUCGAGCGAACGGACGAGAAGCUUGCUUUUCUGAUGUUAGCGGCGGACGGGUGAGUAACACGUGGAUAACCUACCUAUAAGACUGGGAUAACUUCGGGAAACCGGAGCUAAUACCGGAUAAUAUUUUGAACCGCAUGGUUCAAAAGUGAAAGACGGUCUUGCUGUCACUUAUAGAUGGAUCCGCGCUGCAUUAGCUAGUUGGUAAGGUAACGGCUUACCAAGGCAACGAUGCAUAGCCGACCUGAGAGGGUGAUCGGCCACACGGGAACUGAGACACGGUCCAGACUCCUACGGGAGGCAGCAGUAGGGAAUCGUCCGCAAUGGGCGAAAGCCUGACGGAGCAACGCCGCGUGAGUGAUGAAGGUCUUCGGAGCGUAAAACUCUGUUAUUAGGGAAGAACAUAUGUGUAAGUAACUGUGCACAUCGUGACGGUACCUAAUCAGAAAGCCACGGCUAACUACGUG